rnacentral:miRNA from 1 species
GCAGACACAUUCCAGCCAAUCAGCAGCAGACCCUCCCUCCCAGACCCUCCCAUCUCCUGGACAGCUCAAUAAGAAUGCAGCUUCACAAUGAAUGUAAAAUGGAUGCUGUCCAGGAGGUGGGAGGGUCUGGGAGGGAGGGUCUGCUGCUGAUUGGCUGGAAUGUGUCUG